UUUUAAUAAAUUUAAUCCAUUUUUGUUGUUAGAAACUAAUAUGACUGAUAGAAUAACAAAACAAUGACGUGUGAUGUGUUAUAUGUACCUCAUGCUAAUAUAUAGAAACUAUUUUUUAAUAAUAAAAAUAAAUAAAAAUUUUAACA
rnacentral:pre_miRNA from 1 species